UCCCUUCAAUCCCUUAACAAGCGUGCUGAUAUUCUCAGCCAUGAAGUGGAACAAAUCAAAUGUUCAAAUUCAAAUUCUAACCAUCAUGCUAAUCAACAAUACAGAUCAGAGGCAAAUCAAGAGUCUGCUGCCAUCACUGAGGAAGUGAAUCAAGAACAAACAGCUGCUAGAUUUGCCGUGAGUGAAGCUCAGGAGGGGCAAAGAGUUGAAAUUGAAAUUUUUGCUGUCCAUGGUAACUUUUAUGAUGUUGUCCUUGAUAAUUGGACCGAAUCUGAGUUUGAUCACCGCAUAGUAAGUAGUUCACAAGGGCUUGCGUUAGGAGGAGUUUGUCAAGUCAAGCUGAAGAAUGAGGAGGCCUCUCCUUCUGAUGUAUUUUUCAAUAUACCAUCUUCGAAGACUGAAAGUGGAAGGCUCAUUCUGGCAGCAAAAGUUCAUACAAGUGACAAUGGUGGGCUUCGAAUUAAGGAAGCUGUGAUGAUGAAUCCUAUUGUGGUGCAGAUUUACCGAAACAAACUAAAUAUAAGUAGUGACCGUCCGAAGCUAAAAGAUGAUGUACAUCGUUUAAAGGGAAUUUCAGGAAAGGGAUGCCGCGCCAAAUGGCUUAAAGAUAAUCAGAUCAACAUUGUGGAAGAGUUCGUAAAGGAUUUAAAUAAGGAUGAAGAAAAUAUCCGCAAUGAGUGUUUCAAGCUAAAGAAGGAUAAUAAGCUUUGGAAAGAUACAAUUAAACAUGCUAAAGAGUGUGAUCUCGAAGGGAAUUGCAAGCUGAAAUUAUAUAGACCUGAAGAGCAGCAUGUUGUACUCUUCUUUAACUGCGUGCAUGACCUCGAUGCAGUGAAUCGUUUGAAGAAACAAGCAUUUGAUGAGCUGGAUAGCAUUGGCUUUGAUCACGAAAUGAAAAAUAACUAUCCGGUGAUGACGCUCAGUGAUGAUGCUUACAUUCCCUUCACUGACACAGCACAAAAUCCUCCAGAUUUGCAUGUUACAUUUCAAGGUAUUGCAGCAGCUGGGAUUUAUCAUGCACAUGAACUGCCUCAAGCAUUUCCUAACAACAAUAGCGGUUCUGGACAACACUUCUCACAUGGCUAUCAAGGUGCUCUGACUCAGAUGGACCAUGACUACGCCCAAUUUGGCAUUGGUGCUAUGCAGUGCUAUCUUGAACAGGCACCUGAAGGUACUUCUUAUGGAGGCAACAACAUGAUCGAACCAGCAAAUGUACCACAUAAUGUCAUUAAUGACGGCUCUGUGGACAUUUUUGACUGUUAUGCAUACCUCUUUCCGGACAAUGAGAACUAG
rnacentral:lncRNA from 1 species